rnacentral:rRNA from 1 species
GAUGAACGCUGGCGGCGUGCCUAAUACAUGCAAGUCGAGCGAACAGACGAGGAGCUUGCUCCUCUGACGUUAGCGGCGGACGGGUGAGUAACACGUGGAUAACCUACCUAUAAGACUGGGAUAACUUCGGGAAACCGGAGCUAAUACCGGAUAAUAUAUUGAACCGCAUGGUUCAAUAGUGAAAGACGGUUUUGCUGUCACUUAUAGAUGGAUCCGCGCCGCAUUAGCUAGUUGGUAAGGUAACGGCUUACCAUGGCAACGAUGCGUAGCCGACCUGAGAGGGUGAUCGGCCACACUGGAACUGAGACACGGUCCAGACUCCUACGGGAGGCAGCAGUAGGGAAUCUUCCGCAAUGGGCGAAAGCUUGACGGAGCAACGCCGCGUGAGUGAUGAAGGUCUUCGGAUCGUAAAACUCUGUUAUUAGGGAAGAACAAAUGUGUAAGUAACUAUGCACGUCUUGACGGUACCUAAUCAGAAAGCCACGGCUAACUGCGUG